rnacentral:rRNA from 1 species
UACGGAGGGUGCGAGCGUUGUCCGGAAUCAUUGGGCGUAAAGGGCGCGUAGGUGGCCUGCUAAGCGUGCGGUGAAAGCUCGGGGCUCAACCCCGAGUCGGCCGUGCGAACUGGUGGGCUUGAGCACUGUAGAGGCAGGCGGAAUUCCGGGUGUAGCGGUGGAAUGCGUAGAGAUCCGGAAGAACACCGGUGGCGAAGGCGGUCUGCUGGGCAGUUGCUGACGCUGAUGCGCGACAGCGUGGGGAGCAAACAGG